rnacentral:rRNA from 1 species
CAAUAGCGUAUAUUAAAGUUGUUGCGGUAAAAAAGCUCGUAGUUGGAUUUCUACCGAAGAUAGCCGGUCGGGUCUUCGACCUUGUAUCUGGUUUUGUCUUUGGUAUCCUCAUAGGGAACGUUUCUGCGCUUUAUUGCGUGGUGCGGUAUCUAUGACUUUUACUUUGAGGAAAUUAGAGUGUUCACGGCAGGCAAACGCCUUGAAUAUAUUAGCAUGGAAUAAUAACAUAGGAUCUUCGUCCUAUUUUGUUGGUUUCUAGGGCUAAGAUAAUGAUUAAUAGGGAUAAUUGGGGGCAUCUGUGUCAACGCGUCAGAGGUGGAAUUCUUGGAUUGCGUUGCGACAAACUACUGCGAAAGCAUUUGCCAAGGAUGUUUUCAUUGA